ensembl:misc_RNA Metazoa_SRP Metazoan signal recognition particle RNA
GCCGGGCGCGGUGGCUCACGCCUGUAAUCCCAGCACUUUGGGAGGCUGAGGUGGGCGGAUCACCUGAGGUCAGGAGUUCGAGACCAGCCUGACCAACAUGGUGAAACCCCAUCUCUA